UACGAAGGGGGCUAGCGUUGCUCGGAAUCACUGGGCGUAAAGCGCACGUAGGCGGCUUUUUAAGUCAGGGGUGAAAUCCUGGAGCUCAACUCCAGAACUGCCUUUGAUACUGAAGAUCUUGAGUUCGGGAGAGGUGAGUGGAACUGCGAGUGUAGAGGUGAAAUUCGUAGAUAUUCGCAAGAACACCGGUGGCGAAGGCGGCUCACUGGCCCGAUACUGACGCUGAGGCACGAAAGCGUGGGGAGCAAACAGG
rnacentral:rRNA from 1 species